rnacentral:lncRNA from 1 species
CUGAUUCAUCCAAUGCGAAAUAAUUUUCCAAACUAUGGAUUAAAAGCAAAAGUAACAGCAAACAUAUGGCAUUUUGUGGAGGAAAAUAAAUAAUCCAUCGUAUUGUAAACACCAUGCCAGCUAAUUCCAUGGACACGGAGCCGUGGAACUGAGUCAGAGAAGGAGUCCCGGGAGGACUGUUUUUGACGAUGCACAGGUGGGCCUAUCAAUCCUCAGCCUGUUUACAUGGCUGCCAGAUGUUCGACACCAUGACCACGAGAAAGCCUGCGAGGAGUUUGCAGAUGCCACAACUCCACUUAACAAAUGCGAGUCAUGCUCCCGCGGGCCAAUUUACACUGGUUAGUUGUGACACCCCCUCAAGGCUAACACUAAUUUCACUAACGAUUUUGGCGGUGGAAGCGAUGCUAGCUGUGACCUUGCAGCAGUGUAAUGAUAUUGUCGGUGACUACACAAGGUGACUACCUCAUGAAGCUGGUUGAGAGAAUGCCAAGAGUGUGCAAAGCUGUUACCAUGGCAACGGGUGGCUACUUUGAAGAAUUUCAAAUAUGAAAUAUAUUUUGAUUUGUUUAACACUUUUUUUGGUUAGUACAUGAUUCCAUAUGUGUUAUUUCUUAGUGUUCAUGUCUUCAAUAUUAUUCUACAAUGCAG